rnacentral:rRNA from 1 species
GGGGAAUAUUGGACAAUGGGGGGAAACCCUGAUCCAGCGACGCCGCGUGAGUGAAGAAGUAUUUCGGUAUGUAAAGCUCUAUCAGCAGGGAAGAAAGAAAUGACGGUACCUGACUAAGAAGCCCCGGCUAACUAC